rfam:Alligator mississippiensis ScZkoYb_3514, whole genome shotgun sequence.
UCUAAGGCUUUUUUUUGUUUAAAGCCAUAUACUACAAAGUAAAAAUGUGUAU